rnacentral:rRNA from 1 species
GAGUUUGAUCCUGGCUCAGGAUGAACGCUAGCUACAGGCUUAACACAUGCAAGUCGAGGGGAAACGAUUAGAGGUGCUUGCACACUAAGGCGUCGACCGGCGCACGGGUGAGUAACGCGUAUCCAACCUGCCCCAUGGUAAGGAAUAAUCCGUAGAAAUGCGGUCUAAUACCUUAUGUGCUCCGAAGAGGACAUCUGAUUUGGAGUAAAGAUUUAUCGCCAUGGGAUGGGGAUGCGUCUGAUUAGAUUGUUGGCGGGGCAACGGCCCACCAAGUCACCGAUCAGUAGGGGUUCUGAGAGGAAAGUCCCCCACAUUGGAACUGAGACACGGUCCAAACUCCUACGGGAGGCAGCAGUGAGGAAUAUUGGUCAAUGGAUGAGAAUCUGAACCAGCCAAGUAGCGUGCAGGACGACGGCCCUAUGGGCUGUAAACUGCUUUUGUACGGGGAUAAAGGAGCUUACGUGUAAGUUUUUGCAGGUACCGUACGAAUAAGGACCGGCUAAUUCCGUGCCAGCAGCCGCGGUAAUACGGAAGGUCCGGGCGUUAUCCGGAUUUAUUGGGUUUAAAGGGAGCGCAGGCUGUCGGUUAAGCGUGUUGUGAAAUGUAGGCGCCCAACGCCUGCACUGCAGCGCGAACUGGCUGACUUGAGUACGCACGACGUUGGCGGAAUUUGCCGUGUAGCGUGAAAUGCUUAGAUAUGGCGAAGAACUCCGAUUGCGAGGCAG